ensembl:lncRNA ANKRD36BP2 ankyrin repeat domain 36B pseudogene 2
GUUGGGCGUUUCUGCUGAGAGGCGGGAGGGGCUGAGAGUCUGUGCGAAGGUAGGUGGACAGACUGCAUUGCUUGUUGUUGCGCUUCGGAGGCGGCGAUCCCCGAAGGCGAGCUGAAAUACGGCUGGAGCGUUCCCAGGCUACAGUUUGUAGCCGACGAUUGUGGAAGACUAGGAGCCGGAGAGGUGGCCCACCCUCAGGGAGCGCUUGUGCUCGGAGGGCUUCUCAUUUCCCCAAUACCACAUUAAAUCGUCUCAUCUGAGGAGGAUCCACAGAGCUGUCUUCUAUGGUAAUCUGGAGAAACUGGAGUACCUUCUGCUCACGUAUCAUGACACCAAUGAGAGAGACAAGGAGGAAAGGCUCAGCCGCACCUGGGAUGUGGAAACCUUGGCGGGGGUGAGCACCCAGGCCAUUUUCACUAGCAGCAAAACAAAAACAAAACUUCAGCUGGUUUCCAAUCACUCACCAUGCUUCUUCUUUAUAAAUCAUUUUAAAGUGAUUUCGCCAAUAAAAUUCAGCAUGUACAGCGUUUUAUUUUUAAUGUACACAUUUUAAAGCAUAAUGUUACAUACAUUAUGGAAAGUUGCAUAAUGAGAGAAAUCAUUUCCAUAAUAUAUCAACUCCCUGACUAAAAAUUCUUUGGAUAAAAAUGCAAUAUUUAUUUGAUAUCAAUGGACACCUAUGUCAAUGUGGUUUUCACUGAGGGACCUUAGAGGGAAACUUUGAAGUGGGAAGAUGGUCUGUGUUCUUGAAUAGAAAGACACAUUUUUCUAAAAUUCUGAGCUCUUUCUGUGUUUAUAAAUUUUACAUAAUCCCAAUAAAGUUAUUAAAGUGUUAACAUUUUUGAAUUA